rnacentral:rRNA from 1 species
CGGGUGGGUACCCCGUGGGUAACCCUGCCAUCAGAAGGGGAUAACACUUGGAAACAGGUGCUAAUACCGUAUAACAAUCAAAACCGCAUGGUUUUGAUUUGAAAGGCGCUUUCGGGUGUCGCUGAUGGAUGGACCCGCGGUGCAUUAGCUAGUUGGUGAGGUAACGGCUCACCAAGGCCACGAUGCAUAGCCGACCUGAGAGGGUGAUCGGCCACAUUGGGACUGAGACACGGCCCAAACUCCUACGGGAGGCAGCAGAAUAGGGGAAGGGGGGGCGCACAGCGGUGGAGCAUGUGGUUUAUUCGAUACUCGCAACGCGAAGAACCUUACCAGGUCUUGACAUCCUUUGACCACUCUAGAGAUAGAGCUUCCCCUUCGGGGGCAAAGUGACAGGUGGUGCAUGGUUGUCGUCAGCUCGUGUCGUGAGAUGUUGGGUUAAGUCCCGCAACGAGCGCAACCCUUAUUGUUAGUUGCCAUCAUUCAGUUGGGCACUCUAGCAAGACUGCCGGUGACAAACCGGAGGAAGGUGGGGAUGACGUCAAAUCAUCAUGCCCCUUAUGACCUGGGCUACACACGUGCUACAAUGGGAAGUACAACGAGUUGCGAAGUCGCGAGGCUAAGCUAAUCUCUUAAAGCUUCUCUCAGUUCGGAUUGCAGGCUGCAACUCGCCUGCAUGAAGCCGGAAUCGCUAGUAAUCGCGGAUCAGCACGCCGCGGUGAAUACGUUCCCGGGCCUUGUACACACCGCCCGUCACACCACGAGAGUUUGUAACACCCGAAGUCGGUGAGGUAACCUUUUGGAGCCAGCCGCCUAAGGU